rnacentral:ribozyme from 1 species
CCCCCGUGGAGGCGCCACCUCUACGCGGUGCGGGGGAGGCAACUGUGCCUGCGAAAAGGCACAGGCUGAGAGCGCC